rnacentral:rRNA from 1 species
UACGAAGGGGGCUAGCGUUGCUCGGAAUGCCUGGGCGUAAAGGGCGCGUAGGCGGUUUGGACAGUCAGGCGUGAAAUUCCCGGGCUUAACCUGGGGGCUGCGCUUGAUACAUCCAGGCUUGAGUGGGGAAGAGGGUCGUGGAAUUCCCAGUGUAGAGGUGAAAUUCGUAGAUAUUGGGAAGAACACCGGUGGCGAAGGCGGCGACCUGGUCCUUUACUGACGCUGAGGCGCGAAAGCGUGGGGAGCAAACAGG